AUUUUCAGCGAUGGAUGUCUUGGCUCGCGCAACGAUGAAGGACGCAGUGAAAUGCGAAACGCAAUGUGGAUUGCAGAAUUCAGGGAAUCAUCAGAUUUCUGAACGCAAAUGGCACCUU
rnacentral:rRNA from 1 species